rnacentral:rRNA from 1 species
GAUGAACGCUGGCGGCGUGCCUAAUACAUGCAAGUCGAGCGAACAGACGAGGAGCUUGCUCCUCUGAUGUUAGCGGCGGACGGGUGAGUAACACGUGGAUAACCUACCUAUAAGACUGGGAUAACUUCGGGAAACCGGAGCUAAUACCGGAUAACAUGUUGAACCGCAUGGUUCAACAGUGAAAGACGGUCUUGCUGUCACUUAUAGCUGGAUCCGCGCCGCAUUAUCUAGUUGGUAAGGUAACGGCUUACCAAGGCAACGAUGCGUAUCCGACCUGAUAAGGAGAAAGAGCAAAACUGAAAUGAGGAAAGGGCCAGAAUCCUAAGGGAAGCAGCAAUAGGGAAACAUCCGACAAGGGCGAAAGGCUGAAGGAAGAAAGACGGGUGAGGGAAAAAAGGCUUCGGAUUGGAAAAGUCUGUUAGUAGGGAAAAAAAAAUGUGAGAGUAACAAUGCGCGGCUUGAAGGUAACUAAAAAAAUAACCACGGGUAAAUACGGU